rnacentral:lncRNA from 1 species
CGUAAGCACGCGGUCGGUGCACCAGGUGGGUGGAUGUAUGUCCCCGUGGGAAGAAAGUCAGCUGAAAAAAGUCGUCAGUUUGUCACAGGAGUUAUUUAAUCCCCAUAUUUUUAUUACUUAAUGAGGAGAUGGCGAAAGGCAAAAGCAAGAUCAAGAGCAGUGACUUAGCUCCACCCCAGGCUCGGUCACUCAGGUCUAGAAAGAGGGAAUGUCCAAGUGAUGACAUUUCUCUAACUGAUGAUGUUCAGGCUCCACAUCAACAGGAUGCUGAAGAGUAUAACACAGCACUGGUUUCCACAUCACAGUGUCCGCAGUCUCCUGCUCAGGACUGUGCUAAGACUACAAAUCAGCAGGAAGCAGAUCAAGCCUGUGCCACAAAACAGGAAAAAGAUGCAGGCUGCUUUACAAAUGUGGAACUUAAAGAGCAAGAUGCUAACAAUCCCCAAAAUUAUUCUCAGCUGGGGGUCCUUCAAGUACUUUCUGAAAACUUCACUAACAAGAGUGGAACAAAUGAGGAGGAAAAUGAUUUAGAUGAAUGUAACAGAUCACCGUAUGACACACGCACAGAUCAGCUCAAGGUCUUCUCGCCUAUCACCAAAGAAGAUGUCCAGUCCUGCCCAGUUGCUUUGAAUGGACAGGAGAACUCUGAUGUGGAGAGCAAUCAACACACUGGCCCAGAAGAGCCUAUUAACGUGUGCCUGGGUGAUGUCCCAAAGGGGUCGGCAGCAGGAUUGCCAGCCAAGAAAAAGCGAAGGAUGGGCAUGUGUGGCCUGACAGAGAAGGAGCGGAGUCAUUUUUUAAUGACACAAAAGCGUGAAAAUUGGCAAAACAGAGAGGAUAAAGUGGAGAAACCUAUUUGUGAGAACACAGCUGAACCUGUGACUCUGGAAGAAAACACAUCUUCACUCCCGUUACCAUCCUCACCUCCAUCCAUCCCAGCAGAUGGGCAGAACAUGGGGCCGAGAGAGGAAGAGAUAAAGCUUCAGCCUAGUCACUGUAAAGGAGAUGAAAGAACACACAGAGCAGAAAGCGAAGCCUGUGCUGCUGUCAGUCCUUCAGAUGGCUCCACCGCUGGUUUCGAUUCCGGCUGCUCAGAGGGAAAAGGUUGUGAGCAUGAAGAUGGCAUAGUUACUGAUUCAGAGCAAGCCGGUGAUUUAGAUCACCUUGCAGAAAAAGAAGCAGGGGAGCAUUUGGGCAGCCAAAAACUCCAACAACUCAAAGUUUGUACCAAUGAAAUUAUGGCUGAAGUACCUAAAAAUCAAGAGGAGGCUGGCUCAGCAGAAGCAAACUGCAGCUCUGCCAUGUCUUUCUGCACAAGUCAAGAUGAGAAGAGUGAUGGCCAGGCUCCCCUUCUGCAGGUGGACAGUGUUACUGGAACAAGAGAUGAGAAGGAGGAAAGGAUGAACGGGAAUGUGUUCAGUGGUGAUGGAGCUGAUAAAGAUGCCUCCUGUUCACACACACUAAUGGGAGGAUUAAACUGUGGCUCUGUGGAACUCUGUGAGACUGCAGCAACACCCAGUGUCUCAGAGAGGAAAGACAGUCGUGAUCCUGAUGAACCUGCUGCUGGUCCUUCAGCUGUUCACGCUGAUCACUCGCAGACACUCUCACUCACUGCUGACUCAUUUGGAUCUGGGUGCUUAGAUUAUGUGUCGGACUCCCAGCUGAACACCAUCGUUCUGAUUGAGGAUGAGGCGAUGCAGAAAGAGGAAGACCCUGAUUCCUCAGACUGUGAUGAAGAUGGUACAGACCUAAUCUGCGGACUUAUCAGAGAACUCUCCUCUCUAAAUCGGAGAGUCAUGGCCGCUCACCGAGAGCUGGAGAGCCUGCGCCGUAGCAGUAAAGGUUCGAGGAACUCCGCUCGUUAAGAGAGUUAUUUCAGGUUUCUUCAGUCCUGAUUUUACUGCUGCCCCAGUGCUUCACUGGUAAAGAACAUGUUUUAAAGUGUUUACUGUUCUGGUGUUAACUGCAGCUCAGUUUUGUUUUGCUUUUUUAGUUUAAUGACUUAUUCCACUUCUUCCCAAAUAAAG